rnacentral:tRNA from 1 species
GGGGAUUUAGCUCAGUGGUAGAGCGCUUGCCUAGCAAGUGUCAAGGCCCUGGGUUCAGUCCUCA